rnacentral:tRNA from 1 species
GCGCCUGUAGCUCAGUGGAUAGAGCACCGGCCUCCGGAGCCGGGUGUCGGGGGUUCGAUUCCCUUCAGGCGCGCCA